rnacentral:tRNA from 1 species
UGGCAUAGCUCAGUUGGUAGAUUAUGAGACUCUUAAUCUCAGGGUCAGGGGAUCAAACCCCACGUUGGGAAAAA